rnacentral:rRNA from 1 species
UGGCAGACUGGAGGGAUGCAGAGGUUUGUGGAAUUCCUGGUGUAGCGGUGAAAUGCAUUGAUAUCAGGAGGAACACCCAUGGCGAAGGCAGCAAACUGGGCAUCAUCUGACGCUGAGGCGCGAAAGCGUGGGUAGCAAACAGGAUUAGAUACCCUGGUAGUCCACGCCCUAAACGAUGGAUACUAGGCGUAAGAGGUAUCGACCCCUCUUGUGCCGCAGCUAACGCAUUAAGUAUCCCGCCUGGGGAGUACGGCCGCAAGGUUGAAACUCAAAUGAAUUGACGGGGACCCGCACAAGCGGUGGAGCAUGUGGAUUAAUUCGAUACUAACCGAAGAACCUUACCCAGACUUGACAUCGAUCGUAAGCCCUAGAAAUAGGGCCCUCUCUCACAAGGAGACGUGAAGACACUUGUUGCAUGGCUGUCGUCAGCUCGUGCCGUGAGGUGUUAGGUUAAGUCCUUCAACGAGCGCAACCCUCGUCCUGUGUUACCAGCAUGAAAGAUGGGGACUCACAGGAGACCGCCGGUGUAAGCCGGAGGAAGGUGGGGAUGACGUCAAGUCAGCAUGGCAGUUACGUCUGGGGCUUCACACAUGCUACAAUGGGCGAAACAAAGGGCUGCGAUACCGCGAGGUGGAGCCAAUCCCAAAAAUACGCCCUCAGUUCAGAUUGCAGUCUGCAACUCGACUGCAUGAAGUCGGAAUCGCUAGUAAACGCAGGUCAGCUAUACUGCGUUGAAUACGUUCCCGGGUCUUGUACACACCGCCCGUCAAGUCACCUGAAUUGUCUUCACCCGAAGUCCGUGGCCUAACCGUAAGGAAGGAGCGGCCGAAGGUGAGGGGGGUAAGGGGGACUAAGUCGUAACAAGGUAACC